rnacentral:rRNA from 1 species
UACGUAGGGGGCGAGCGUUGUCCGGAUUUACUGGGCGUAAAGCGCGCGUAGGCGGAACUUCAAGUCCGGUCUGAAAGCCCCCGGCUCAACCGGGGAGGGUGGCUGGAAACUGGGGUUCUUGAGGGCGAGAGAGGAGGGUGGAAUUCCUGGUGUAGCGGUGAAAUGCGUAGAGAUCAGGAGGAACACCCGGGGCGAAGGCGGCCCUCUGGCUCGACCCUGACGCUGAGGCGCGAAAGCGUGGGGAGCGAACAGG